UCUUGCUAUGGUGCAGCAGGUUAAGGAUCCAGCUGCAGCAGCUGUGGAGGCUCCAGUUCGAUCUCCGGCUGGAGCAGUAGAUAAAAGGAUAUGCUGUUGCCGCAGGUGCAGCGCAGGUUCAGUCCCUGGAACGGGAGCUUCCAUAUGCCAUGGGUGCAGUCAUUAAAAAAGAAAAAAAACUGAUGAAGUACCGCUUCGGAUCCGUUAGGACAGCUGUUAUGUUUUUAAAAAAUCAAAAAUGGAAACUAACAAGUGAUGGCGAAGAUGUGGGCAAACGAGAACCCUUGUGCAUUGCCUGUGGGAAGGGAAGAUGGUGCAGCCUCAUGCAAAAUGCUUGCAAGAGCCUCCCGAAUUCAACAGAAUUACCACAAGACCCUGAGCCCCUCUCCUAGGGAUUGACCGCAUGGGCUCAAACCAAUAUUUGCACCCCACGUGCUCAUAGCAGCCAACUUCACUGCAGCGGCAGAACCAACCCUAGUGCCCAUCAACAGAAGAGUGGGGGAGCCAAGCCCGGGAGACACACACAAGCCAAUACCCUCAGCUGUACAAAGGAACACAUGCAGUUCUGACACGGGCUCCAGCCUGAAGGACCCGAGACAACAAUCCGCUCCAUGAAGGAAGCCAGACCCCACGGGACAUGGAUUGUAGGAUUCAUCUCCUAGGAGCUACCCACAGGGCAAACCCAUGGGAGGAGAAAGUAGAUGGCGUGCUUGCAGCUGGGGGGUGGGGGUGCCGAGCAGUCUCUGUCUCACAGUGGAGACUUCCUGCUGGGAUGCUGCACACGUUCUGGACACAGGCGGUGGUGACGGUGGCUUCACGUGGUGAAUGCACUCAGCACCAUGGAAGUGGCUCGUGGAAAGCGGGACAAGUCACGUUGUGUCUUAUGGCUGUGGUUCUCCAAUUCAGGGAACGAGAAGGGCUUCUGGUCCUCGAGGUGCUGUCCUUACAGGCACAAGACUGUUUGGAUAAAUUAUAAAUACAAUGAGGGCAUGUCAGCUGUUGACCCACGUUGGAGGGAAAGUCACAGGAGGAAAGGAGCCUGUGACAUGUCAGGGUGCGGAGGCCGAGGGACUGGGGAGAAGCUGGGAGGACGUUGCUGCCCCCGUGGAAGACCACUGGCAGCCAGUGCAAACUUCUGGAAGCCUUAGCAGGAUCCCAGUGGCUGGGGUUCUGCUCAGAAUCAGCCAGCGGGGAUCCAGCAGCAACAACAGAGCUGUGACCAGGCCCUGCUGGGCUCCCCAGGCGGGAGGAGCUGGUGACGUGGGCCAGCGAGGUCGUGGAGCCGGGGAGCAUCUCUUUGGGAUCUACAGCGAAGGUCAAGGCCACUGAGAUUUCCAGCAGGUGUGGUCAGCGGCACCGAGAUGCUGGCUGCUGGCGGAAGGAGCGAAUGAGUGAUUGGCAGCUGCCCUCACCUCCCCCAGGAGCCCCUCCUUUCCUGCGGCUCCAGACGCCCCCCCACCCCCGGACCCUACGUCUUGCAGGACCGACCACCCCAGGGUCCAGGGUCCCUGGCUCAGGACCAGAGCUACCGGCUGGACGUGCAAGAGACCGUGACGGUGCAGGAGGGCCUGUGUGUCCGCGUGUCUUGCUCCUUCUUCCAUUCUUGGAUCUCCUGGUCUGCGCCUGUUCACAACUACUGGUUCCAGGAAGGGGCCAGGGUUCUCCCAUGGCCACAAGCAACCCAGAUCCUAAGGACCCUGAGGUGGGCCCAGUCUGCCUCCUUGGGGACCUCCAGAACAAGAACUGCUCCCUGGACAUCAGAGACACACAAAGCAGCAACCCCAGGACAUACUUCUUUAGGGUGGAGAUCAGGUCUUUUGGUAAAUAUAACUCCAUAUGGAACAAGCCCCCUGUCCAUGUGAUUGGUAAGGACGGGGUCAAGGAGUGGACACUCAGGGGUUAAGGAUCUGCUGACGCUGCAGCCUGCAGUGUAGGUUGCA